CGGGGUGUAGUUCAGUUGGUAGAACGCACGUCUGGGGGGCGUGAGGUCGUAGGUUCAAGUCCUAUCACUCCGACCA
rnacentral:tRNA from 1 species